ACAUCUUUAAUUGAGUGUUUAUUUCAUUCAAUAUUUAAAUUUGGUUUUUCAGUCAAGAAUCAUUAUCCUGAAUACUUUUUAUUUCGAUUACUGCAUCAUUAACGCUUUCUUCCGCAGAACACAAGGGAAAAUGCUUUAGUGUUUACUAUAUUAACUAUGAAAUUUGAAAUGAAAAGCAUUGCCCCGUCGGUUUCCAUUGUGAAGACAACAAAAACGCGUUCGUCAAAACGAUUGUUGUUUUCCACAGAUAAAAGAAAAUCAUACAUAUGAUAACAGAUUUUUUUUUGGUGAAUCUAUCCCAUUAAGUGUCUAAAGGCCACCUGGUUGUAACGGUGCUGUGAUGAUUCUUCUCUCUUCAGUACGAGCGCGGCUCAGACGAGUCAGCGAAACCCCGGCGCCUCCACCCACAGCAUUAGUAGCGCGACUCCCCCGGACCGCCUGCGCUUCCCACGAGGCACGCUGAGCCGCAGCACCUUCCACGGAGGCCAACUGAGGGAGCGGCGCACGGCCACCUACAACGGACCCCCGGCCUCUCCGACCUUAUCACACGACGCCACGCCGCUCUCACAGUCCCGGAGCCGCGGAUCAACAAACCUCUUCACGAAGCUCACAUCCAAGCUCACGCGCAGAAAUAUGUCAUUCAGGUUUACCAAAAGGUAGGACCCUCGAUGGGCUGUGUGCAGUUAAUUAGCGCUGAAAUACCAAGAUUAACUCUUAACCCUAGUGUGAAGACGUUUCCGAUUAAUCGCUUGUCACUCACCUUUGACACACGCCGUCUCUUAAUGGGAGCGCGACUGAGCAUGCCUGAGACUUCUGCUGUUUUCUGACGGGCAGCACCUCACAGACAUUACUAAUCACCCAUGCAUGCCUGUUCACAGGUUACAACUGAGCACAAUAGAUCCAUUAGACUCCUUAUUAGAUCCUCAUUUUCCAUUCACAUCUUUUAUCUUCAAGGAGAAAGGAUGUGCGUUUUGUUCGGUUAGAUGAUAAACUGCAGCAUUCAAUAGUGGGAACAUUAGUUGAAAAUGAUAUUCUUCAGUAAGCCAUGAAGAAUUAAAAAUUUAAAUUAAAUUAAACUUCAAUUAAAGUUUAAAUUUAUAUGCAAUUGAAUAAAACAUAAUAAUAAUAAUAAUAAUUUUGAAUAU